rnacentral:rRNA from 1 species
UGGGGAAUAUUGGACAAUGGGGGGAACCCUGCAUCCAGCCAUGCCGCGUGUGUGAAGAAAGGCCUUAUGGUUGUAAAGCACUUUAAGCGAGGAGGAGGCUCUUCUAGUUAAUACCUAGGAUGAGUGGACGUUACUCGCAGAAUAAGCACCGGCUAACGUCUGUGCCAGCAGCCGCGGUAAUACAGAGGGUGCGAGCGUUAAUCGGAUUUACUGGGCGUAAAGCGUGCGUAGGCGGCUUUUUAAGUCGGAUGUGAAGUCCCCGAGCUAACUUGGGAAUUGCAUUCGAUACUGGGAAGCUAGAGUAUGGGAGAGGAUGGUAGAAUUCCAGGUGUAGCGGUGAAAAUGCGUAGAGAUCUUGGAGGAAUACCGAUGGCGAAGGCAGCAUCUGGCCUAAAUACUGACGCUGAGGUACGAAAAGCAUGGGGAGCAAACA